ACUCUCUUCAACACAGAGAGAGAAUAAUAAACUCUAUAGCGAGAAAAAGGAAACAACGAAUGGAGGGAAUGAGGAAAAGAGAGAGUAAUUCCAGCCAAGCAAUAGCAAUUUACAUGUGGAUUUGAUGUAGUGGAGGACACAGCUGGCUGCUGUACAGCAGAGAACUGUAUCCAGCAAGCUACGUUGAUAUACAUCACAACUAUCCAGAAUGCAAUCUUGGAGUCUCAUUGAGAUGUAAUAGCAAAGACAUAAAAUCAAGGAGCCAUAAGAACACAGGGGUGCUUCUUCUGAUGCUAUUUACUUUGGACUGGAACAUGAUCUACACAUUUAUACAAGGACCAAUGGUUUAGAUAAAACUACUUAUGAUAAAGUAGACCGUAUAAUUUUAACACCUGGAUAUCUCCAAAACGUGAGAAGCAAGGAAAUCUAUCAGCAGUAAUAUUAAGAUAACCUUAAAAAGCUAUGGUAAAGAUGAAAAUCUGAUAAAGAUACAGUAACUGUGAAAGCUUGCACUGUUCUGCCUUUUCAGUUGUCCUAGCAAACCUAUCAUUUAUGUUUUGA